rnacentral:rRNA from 1 species
UCAAUGCAUGCUUUUACAGUAUGAAAAUUGGUGAUUUAUAAUAACUUAGCAAAUCGCAUAGUGAAAACAGGCGAUAAAUCAUUCAAGUUUCUGACCUAUCAGCUUUCGACGGUAUGGUAUUGGCUUACCGUGGCAGUGACGGUUAACGGGGGAUUAGGGUUCGAUUCCGGAGAGGGAGCCUGAGAAACGGCUACCACAUCUAAGGAAGGCAGCAGGCGCGCAAAUUACCCAAUUCUAACAGUUUGAGAGAGGUAGUAACAAGAAAUAACAAUACAAGGCAGUUAAAAUGCUUUGUAAUUGGAAUGAUAGAAAUUUAAACCCUUUUUAAAGUAUCAAUUGGAGGGCAAGUCUGGUGCCAGCAGCCGCGGUAAUUCCAGCUCCAAUAGCGUAUAUUAAAAUUGUUGCAGUUAAAAAGCUCGUAGUUGAAGUUCUGCUAAAAGUAACCGGUCUGCUUUGAAUAAAAGUGGUAUCUUGGUAUGUAUUUAGCAAUGAUGUCCUUUGAAGUGUUUUUUACUUUAUUGUAAUAAAGCAUAUUCAGGACUUUUACUUUGAGAAAAUUAGAGUGUUUCUAGCAGGCCAACGCUUUGAAUACUGCAGCAUGGAAU